UUCGUUGCAGAAGGCUUGUAGA
rnacentral:miRNA from 1 species